rnacentral:tRNA from 1 species
GGGCCUCUAGCUCAUGCCUGGUUAGAGCAGCGGACUCAUAAUUGUCCGUUCUAUGGGGUCUUUGUGCAGUAAAAACA